rnacentral:pre_miRNA from 14 species
GAUGAAACGGUGCUGGGGACCACCCUGUGUUUUCUGGAAUUUGAAAUUAGUGAACACAGCUGGUGGUAUCUCAGUUCCUUUUCAUCA